AUCUGUCUGACGAGUCUGAAAUAGGACGAAACGUGAGUCAAACUGGAU
rnacentral:hammerhead_ribozyme from 1 species